CCAACUCAGGAGGAUGAGUUUUGUUAAAUUAAUACCUGUUGCUCCUGACCCUCAAGCAGCUCCCACGUGGAGUUUCCCACGGUGCUUCGGGAAGCCAGCAAGCUCUGUCCUGGUGGCUCUUUUCCAUGACUCCUGAACAAGUGUGGCACAUCUCCAGAUCCGCAGUCACACCAGCCUCUCUGGAAGUUAUCUGCUACUCUUUGAGGUGCCUCCAGGAUCCCCAGGAAACUGCCCGGAUAUUCUCCAAAGCAGUUGCACCAUUUUACAUUCCCACCAGCAGAGUGUGAAUGUUCCAGCUUCUCCACAUCAUCACCAACACUUGUUUUCAUCUAUUUGGAUUAUAGCCAUUCUGGCCAGGCAAUGGACCGUUCUAGUCGGUGGGGGCUGGUGGAGCUGCUGGCCGAGGGAGGCCAAAGAAGCCCUGCUCUGCCAGGUGCAGAAAGCACAGGCCCAGGGGCCGGGAACACAGGGGACCUAGAGGACACGUGACAGCUGCCAAACUGGAGAGGGGACAGGGCAGGCAUCUCUUCCCCACCCUUGGCCAUGGCCAGCUUUACCUGCCUCUGAGGAUCCCCUUCCUAGAGCUCCACAGCCAGCCUCGGAGUGGGCAGACUCGUUCCCAGAGGGCCACUCAGAAAAUGAAGGUAGUAAUUCUUCCAAAGAAUUCCAGGCUCCAGCAGAACACUGGAGAGGAGCAAGGUCUCUCGUGACAGGUUUUCUGAAUGGUGGAGUCACCGGUAUGAAGACGUGAGCUUGCCCUCAUGACUUAACUGUGCACUGAACAACUCUAUCCACUGUAAGAGGAUCUCUAGACCCAGGGAUCCAGGCCCACGAGACACAGAGGCCGGGACUGUUGUCUUCACACCUCCACAGGGCUGUCCAGGGGCAGAAGAACACACAAGUGCGACCACAAAGGGGACAAACCAGGACCAUCUGGAGGAGCUAAAGGAAGCAUAGAGGCUGACUCAGCAUAAGGAAGAACUUUCAUAGGGAGUCCCUUGGUGAGAGGGAUUGCCCCAUCACAGCAAGUGAGCAAAGACCUGAGGACCAUCUGGCAGGGAUUGGAGAGAGAAGAUUCAUGCCAGGAUGGAACUGCUGGCCUCCAAAGUCCCUUCUGUCCCUGGAAUAUGCAGUGACACCAAUGAACAGAGUUGCCUGGGUUUACCUAAGAGCCAAGGUGGUCAACGUGACGUUCUGGCUCAUGACAUCAUUCCGCAGGCUCCGCUGCCCUCUGUACCAAUGAGUUUGACACCUCUGGUCCCCUGGGGUGGCCUGUGCUCUCCCCAAGAGCUUGAGAGCCCUUAGGAGCUCUGUGUUCCUAUUUUGCAAAUUGGAUCAGGCUAAGAUUCUGUACUGUGGGAAGGUGCCAAGAAGCCAUCAAAGCCCUCCAACAUGAAGGGGAGUGGAGGGAGUAGAGCGGUUGUUCAUCCACCAGUGUAGCACAAACAGGAGCUUUAUUGGUGGGGCUGGGACGCUGUGACAGCCCAGCACGCAGGCUGUGAGGGCCUGGGCAGCUGCCAGGAGGCGAGACGUGAGGGGACCAGCCUCUGCACUGUGCUGCUUGGGGCACGUUGUCCCUUUUCAGUUCUUAAGAGGCAAGUGUGCAGGAAGAGGGUUCAGGACUUCACAAACUGGUGGGUGACCUCGUAGAUUCCCACAGACUCCUGAGCCUUUUCGUCAUAGUCAGUCCAGUCCUGUGGGAAAAAAUGGCAGCGUUAGCCUCAAGAGGCAGCCUGGACAGCAUGGGGAGUGGAGGACUAGGACUUAAAAGGCCCAGCUCAGGCUCCGCCUCAAUCUUCAGGAACACGUCAGACCCAGGACAGAGCCAGACUGCUCGGGCCUGAAUUCCUACUCUUCUGGCUUUGUGAUUUUGGGCAAGUCACUAACUUCUCUGAGCCUUCGUUCUGUCCUCUAUUUAAAAAAAAAAGAGGACAGCAGUAGAUUUUACACUGAAUGUUGAAAGAAUCAAGAGUUAACACAUGUAAAAGAAUUUAGCCUAGGGCCAGGCACAUAUGAGAGCUCAGUAAAUCCAAUUACUGUUAUUAGGUGCUAUGCAAACUGAAUGAUUUUGUCCUUCCUUCCUCUGAGGCCUGACCACAAGCCUUCCUUAUCUGCAAGGCAGUAACAUGUCCAGUUGAUUCUUGGUAUUCACAGUAGUUACGUUCUACAAAGUCCCCACAAACACUGUAUUAGUGAAUACUGAAGCACUGCUCCCAGGGGAAAUAACAGGGUUAGGUUCCUGGGAGCAUAUGACUCUGUUUAAAAACACCUUAUUUAACAUACAUACAUACAUAUAUAUAUAUAUAUAUAUAUGUAUGUGUAUAUAUAUAGCUGAUUCACUAAUACUGAACUCACAGCCAACAGUGCUGUAUCUCACACCUGAACAAGCUUGUCUAACAUGUAUCUUCUCUGUAAGGCACACCCAGCUUUCCUGCGUGUGAACGCUAGGCAACGCUUCAGCACUACACUUGGGGCUAUCGUAAACACCAAAAUCACCAACAAAAAGCACGGAAGUGUGGAGUCGGCUUCCCACUGAAGAGCCUUGUUCACCAAAAGGGUUAUUCCCACCAGGUGCCCUAGAGCUCCCUGCAAGGCCCCCAAAUCCCGUACCUUUUCCUGCAGAUUAAUGUCACUGAAGACUGUCCCGGAUUCCAGACCCUCAGCAGCAAAGCCGGCCUGCAGGUGACAGAAGGCAGCGGUUAAUCUGGGGGAACGGAGGCACUGGUCUGGCCUGUGGGGCCUGGUCAGGGAACUGGCCUUUCUCACAACACCUCUGGCAUGGGAAGACAGAAAUACAGUUGGGCUACUGUUCUGGAAUAACUACUGAGCUUCCAUGCCCUGGCAGCUGCCCUGGGACUAGAGUGGUUUCUCCAAAUUAGAGCCCUGGCCCAGAAGGCAGGAGGUGUGGGGUAAACCCGUCCAUUACCCUUGAUUUUCUGAAACACCUGGGCGUGUCACUUCCCUCUCUGGACCUCAGUUUUCUUACUUAUGAAACGGGGAUGACAAUACUCUCUCUUCUGCCUACUUCACAGGAUUGUGAGGUGAAAAUGCUACACAAAUAAAGUGGCCUGAGCACUGGCUCUGGAGUCGGAUAGAUGUGGGUUCAAAUUACAGCUCCAUUGCUUACUAACUGCAUCACCCUGGGCAAGUGGCAAAAUCUCUGAAGUUCUUUUCUCAUCUGAAAAAUAGGAUGUAUAACUUCACAGAGUUACUGUGAGGAUUAAGGGAGGUAACAUUAAAAGUGACAAGCCUGGUGCCCAACAUAUAUUAGAUGCUUAACAAAUAACAACUGUUAUUCUUAGCAAUGAGAAUUCCUAGUCCACGGUCUCUGUAGGAAGCACAGUUCUACUGUCACUUCCUAUACGCCCUCCCCAAAGAUACAGGUUCCCCAGGAAGAUAUGCACCUGGGGCUGGAAAUCGACUGGUUCAAGUCCUCGGCACUCAAACUCCACUAUCGUCUUGAACUUCUCGUUGUCUUCGGCCUAGAAAGGAAGUGUGUUGAGGAGGUAGGUCUAACUGUGCCCUCAGGUUGACUCCACAGCCCGAGAGCCCAGAAUGGGACUCAGGGGCAACUUAUCCCGUUCUGGAAGAAGGCUGCCUUGACACCUGUUUGCCACGAGAUCUUCCUGGAUGUGGGCUCUGGGGUCAGAGUGCCUGGAUGUGAGCUCACACACAGUUCUGCCUCUCUUUUCUUCUGGGCCUAAGAUCGUCAGCUGGAGCUGAGGAAACCACUACAGGUUUAUUAUGAGAACCUGAACUAGGUGUAAAUUGCCCAGUAUAGGACCCGAUACUAUGCUCAAUGAAUGGUAGAUAAAAUUAUCAAAAUAAAAACUAUGAAGAAUGUUAACCUAUAAGGUUUCCAGGUCAUCCAAAAGGCCCCAGUACACCUCACUGUGGCCCUUGGCUAACCAUCCGCCAUGCUGUCAAGGCAGGGGCUGACUUAAAGCCUUUGAAGUGGGAUAUGCAUGUGGAGGAGGCACACCGAGGGGGGUGGUACAGCCAGGAAAUUCAUGCCUCCCUGACCCCUGGGCCCACAGACCCCAAGGACACACCCACACAUUCAUUCUCAUUCUGUCAUUUACUGUAGAAAUGCUUCCUGCGCACCAACCUUGUGUCUGGCCCUGGAUUGGUUUUUGUUCGCUGGUCUGUCUCUUGCACUAGAUUAUGAUUUACUUGAGUGCAAGUCCUUGUGUGACUUUUCCCUUUAACUUCAGGACAAAGCUGAGAAUUUGGCAUAAAUCAGACAUUUUUCAAAAAUACCAAGUAGGAAUGGAUGAAGACACAGACCCAAAGCAUACACUCCCUCCCUCACCUUUGGACUAAUCUGUUAAUGCAGUAACGUAUAAAUACUUAAUAAAAUCAAAUAUCAAGGAUGGA